CAGUGUAGAGGCUAGAGGCCAGCCGGGGCAGCUGAGUGGGUGGAAGCUGCUAAGGGAAGGAAGCACCUCAGAGAACUCAGACUCCCCCACCAGUCUGACAUGGGUCUGAGGAGAAGAUGGAGGGCAUUCUGAACACCAGACUAAAAAGUCAGGACUCUUCUGGGGACCAUGAAAAGCCCUGAAAGUUGUAGAAGAGAAUUCCUUAAGGAAAAGAUUGUAGCUGCACCAUCCUGACAGCACAGCUGGCCAAAGGAACAGUUCAAGCUGACAAGACCAUCUGGGGAAAACUGGGGAGAGGACAAGCAGUUGGAGAACUUCUCAGCUCAGCUUACAAGACUCAAAGACGACUCAAACACCACUCCCCCCGGGAACCUCCUGUUCUACCACUCAGGAGAAUGGAACAAAAAUAGAUAUUGUUGUGAAGUA